GCAGGUGGCGGUAGGGAGCUCCGUGCCUCCUGCAGCCACUAACGAAGAAGAAGCAGCAGCAGCAGCACCAUAAACAAACCGAGCUAGCCGGAGCUGCUGCGGCUGUUUUAAAAGCUGAAAAGUCGCUGUCAAAUAAAAACCGUGAUGACGGUCAGCAGCCGGACUCUGGACAGAAUCUACUCCGCUCUGCUCGUGGCGGUGGUGGUCCUGUCCUGGUCCUAUGUGAUCUACAGCAGCAGGAUCGCAGCUCAGUGGCUGCUGGAGAAGAGGACCGCCCCCUCGCUGCGUGACUGACAGCUGCUCUGACCAGUGAAACAACAGUGUUGGAGUCGGCUCUUUUCUGUUCUUAGGAUGAUGCAGAUGAGAUGAUGCUGGUGGGAUCCAGACCGAACAGAAAAUGGACAUGGAAACACAAAGGAACUCAAACGUGUUGCGACGGGCUGGACCCAUCGUUUCCAUCAAACUCUGCAGCGUUUUCUCCGUUAGAUCGAUUCGUCAGGAGUGAAACCUGCCCCAGGAUUUUUGGGCGUCACGUGCCGUCACUCAUCCAGUCACCCGAGGAUUUUUGACACGUCGACGCCCUCACAUGGCAGAGAAAAGAAACUGGACUUUCUCGACUUGGUUACCCAUAAAUCCUGCAAGAUGAUGACGGCCAAAAAUGGUGAAUACAAACAAGGAUUAUGGACUGUUUGGCGUCUGUCAGAUGGAAAUCGGACAGCAGACCGAAGCAGACAGCCAUCACGUCCACGGCAGCUGGCGUUGACGGGAAAAUGUGAGAAACGUUGUGUGCUACCGUCUUUAAAGUAGUGAAGUUACUGAGGGAAAGACUGUGUGGGAAUCCUGGAGGACUUUUCUCAAAUGAUAUCAACUCAAAAAAUGCUGUAACAACUUAAGAGACAUAAACAGGCCUGAGAAUGGCUUCAUAUGCUCCCAUUAUAAUGUAAUACCCUUUAUACACUUUAAAAAUCUGAAUACGCGGCUAAAAGAAUUCAGUUUUCUGAUGAGAAUAAUCUGACACGCAGAGCUGAGCUGCAGUUCAAAUGAACCUUCAGUUUCCCAGCUUUGGCUUCUGCUGUUGACCUCUGACCUCUGGCAUUUCUUCCUGAGAAACCUUUCAUGUUUCACUCUUACAUCUGGCAGCCAAGAUUGAUUUAGUCUUUUAUCUGAACUUUGGUUUAGUCCUGUUUUAGUCAUUUGAAUUUUGUCAGUUUUUAGUCGCCGAAUCUACAACGGUAUUUAAUAACUAACUUGUAGUCUAAUUCUGCUGAAUCAUUUUCCACCUUAUUUUCUCUGUAAAUUACUCAUUAUUUUAUUUGUUAGUUUACACAUACAAACUGAUAAGUUUUCAUUUGUCUGUUUCUGGCAUUUUCUUCAUUUUUAUUUAAUUUGUUUACGGACGUUGUUCUUAAUUUCUGUCACAGUUAGAUUAUAGUGAUAGUGUAUACGCUAAACUGGUUUUUGGGUCUGUGUGUGACCGGUAUGAUCUGAAACCAUGGUAACAGGAUGAACACAUGACUUGAAACCUGUAAGUCUUUUCUGAGUUGUGUAAUCUUAAUGCAUUCCACUGUUAUCUUGUCGCUUGUACAAACGACAUCGCUGCUGUCGGUUCAGAUGUUUUUCACAGUGUUUUGAUGGUUAUCGCUGGUCACGCUGUGCUGUGACGCGGCCUUGUUCCUUUCCUGCUCUUAUCUCUCUUCUGUUUUUUAUUCAGCGUGUCAUUAUAUCAUUUUGCUGAUGCUGCAGUGAUCAAUAAAGUUUCGUCUCUCUCUAAUCCACUGAAAAAGUCUUGAAACCUAAUAAGAUCUCUUGCAUCCAG